UACAGAGGGUGCAAGCGUUAAUCGGAAUUACUGGGCGUAAAGCGUGCGCAGGCGGUUUUGUAAGCCAGAUGUGAAAGCCCCGGGCUCAACCUGGGAAUGGCAUUUGGGACUGCAAGGCUGGAGUUUGGCAGAGGAGACUGGAAUUCCCGGUGUAGCAGUGAAAUGCGUAGAUAUCGUGAGGAAGACCAGUGGCGAAGGCGGAUCUCUGGACAGUUCCUGACGCUGAGGCGCGAAGGCCAGGGGAGCAAACGGG
rnacentral:rRNA from 1 species